rnacentral:rRNA from 1 species
AUUGAACGCUGGCGGCAGGCCUAACACAUGCAAGUCGAACGAGUGGAGGACGGGUGAGCAAGGUCUGGGAACAUGCCUGAUGGAGGGGGAUAACUACUGAAAACGGUAGCAAAUACCGCAUACCAUCCGAUGUGCCCAGAUGGGAUUAGCUAGUAGGUGGGGAAAAGGCUCACCUAGGCGACGAUGCCUAGCUGGUCUGAGAGGGGGACCGGCCACACUGGGACUGAGACACGGCCCAGACUCCUACGGGAGGCAGCAGUAGGGAAUAUUCCACAAUGGUCGAAAGCCUGAGCGAGCCACGCCGCGUGAGUGAAGAAGGCCUUCGGGUUGUAAAGCUCUUUUGGUAGAGAAGCGUUAUCCAAAGAGGAAGCCACGGCUAACUCCGUGCCAGCAGCCGCGGUAAUAC